AUGAUGCAGUGUGAAAAGUUUUUUCGGUACAAGAUGGACCCGCGUCUGAUUAGCUAGUUGGUGAGGUAACGGCCCACCAAGGCGACGAUCAGUAGCCGACCUGANAGGGUGACCGGCCACAUUGGGACUGAGACACGGCCCAAACUCCUACGGGAGGCAGCAGUGGGGAAUAUUGCACAAUGGGCGCAAGCCUGAUGCAGCGACGCCGCGUGAGCGAAGAAGUAUUUCGGUAUGUAAAGCUCUAUCAGCAGGGAAGAUAAUGACGGUACCUGACUAAGAAGCACCGGCUAAAUACGUGCCAGCAGCCGCGGUAAUACGUAUGGUGCAAGCGUUAUCCGGAUUUACUGGGUGUAAAGGGAGCGUGGGCGGUUUUACAAGUCUGAUGUGAAAGCCCGGGGCUCAACUCCGGUAUUGCAUUGGAAACUGUANAACUANAGUGUCNGAGGGGUAAGUGGAAUUCCUAGUGUAGCGGUGAAAUGC
rnacentral:rRNA from 1 species